rnacentral:rRNA from 1 species
GAUAAACGCUAGCUACAGGCUUAACACAUGCAAGUCGAGGGGUAGCAGGGUAGCAAUACCGCUGACGACCGGCGCACGGGUGAGUAACACGUAUCCAACCUUCCCAUAACUCGGGGAUAGCCUUUCGAAAGAAAGAAUAAUACCCGAUAGUACUUAACAAAGGCAUCUUUGAUAAGUUAAAGAUUUAUUGGUUAUGGAUGGGGAUGCGUUCCAUUAGAUAGUUGGUGAGGUAACGGCUCACCAAGUCUUCGAUGGAUAGGGGUUCUGAGAGGAAGGUCCCCCACAUUGGUACUGGGACACGGACCAAACUCCUACGGGAGGCAGCAGUGAGGAAUAUUGGUCAAUGGGCGAGAGCCUGAACCAGCCAAGUAGCGUGAAGGAUGAAGGUCCUAUGGAUUGUAAACUUCUUUUAUAGUAGAAUAAAGUGAUCCACGUGUGGAUUUUUGUAUGUAUACUAUGAAUAAGGAUCGGCUAACUCCGUGCCAGCAGCCGCCGUAAUAC